AUCGUAACUUUUUUUUAUCUUUGUAUAAUAAAUAUAACAAAAUGGAUUCCACAAAAUUGAAAAUAGCAUUAUUUUACGAGGAUUUCUCAUAUUUUUCUCACUUCCGGCGCAGUAAUACGUAUGUUUCGAAGAAGCUCGAAGAAUUUGACAAAGUGAAUUGAGAAGGAAACGGAUAGAUUUACGUCCUUGCUAUCAGGGCACAAACCCACUUUAAAGACACUUGUCUACUGCCAUACCCAUCCUAAUUUCAUGCACCAUUUGCAAGCAAGAGACUGAAUGGUUUGCAAAAUUAAAAAUCAGGACGGUGUCCAAUUAAAACAAAAGAACUAAACUGGAUGAAUAUUGUAGGAGAAAUCUAGAGGAAAGUCAUUCAUCCUAGCCUGCAGAAAGGAACUAUAACUGUCCACCACCAACUGACGAGCUAAUGUUGAGCUUCACAUAUGGAAUUAAUCAAAUACCAUCAAUGUUUGUGUUUUCAGCACAGAUUUCACAAGUUAUGACACAGCUGUGUUUUUUUAUACCUGUUUAUAGAGUUGUAUACCAAAUUUUAUUUUUUUUAUCAAUAAAUAUAUAUUGUGUCAUUUAAGAACUUGUAUUUUGCCAAAAGAUGCAUACUAGUGAAUGAAAGUGGUGCAGAUCAUUUUGCUUUGGUAUAUAGAAUUGAAUUACAAUUGUUCAUGUUAUUGGAAUGCUUAUAAAAAUAAGGAGAUGUGGUACAAUGUAUAUGAUAUUUAGUGAGUUAAUCAAGCAAAAGUGAAUAAGAAAUUGGUAUAAGCAGUUACAGGUACAUGUACUACUGUACAAUCUCAAACAAUGAGAAAAACUCAUACCGUAAAGAGAAUUUCAUAUUUACUUACAAGUAAGUUUUGUUUUUGCGUUGAAUAAUUUUCUUCUAUUGUUUUAAUUGCAAAUAUUGGAAGUGGUUAAAAUGCUAAUGAGACAGCUGUUAUGGCCACAGAGCCUUAAUUGAAAACUUCUUUUUCAUUCAUACCAGUAGAUUUUGCCUGGAGUUAGAAACAUAUCUGCCAACUUUUCAAAAUGCACAUGGGGGUUUUACAUGAAAGAUGGUUCAUAUAGUCAUACAUAACCUUCAAGGGGGCCUUCAAAUGGAAGCAGGACAAGUCGCCCCACUGGCUAAUCGCCCCACUUUUUAAAAAAACGCCACAAACUGAUUUAUCAAAUCGCCCCACAUGUGAAAUUGGUUAAAUCAUGUUUAAUAUUACUCCUGCCAACUUGCCCUACUUAUAAAAAAACGGUAAUAUUUAGAUUAAUAAUAUAUAUAUAAUUAAAAAU